ACCUCCGGGGGUAAGAGGUUCGACUCGAGCGUAUCGAGAGAACGUUGCGUCAGCAACGGCCCGCAGGGCGAGCCACGUAGUGGCGAGUAAUCCUCUAUCAUCGACCA
rnacentral:sRNA from 1 species